GGGCCCGCACAAGCGGUGGAUUAUGUGGAUUAAUUCGAUGCAACGCGAAAAACCUUACCUGGCCUUGACAUGUACCGAAUUUAGCAGAGAUGCUUUAGUGCUCGUAAGAGAACGGUAACACAGGUGCUGCAUGGCUGUCGUCAGCUCGUGUCGUGAGAUGUUGGGUUAAGUCCCGCAACGAGCGCAACCCUUGCCAUUAAUUGCCAUCAUUUAGUUGGGCACUUUAAUGGGACUGCCGGUGACAAACCGGAGGAAGGUGGGGAUGACGUCAAGUCCUCAUGGCCCUUAUGGCCAGGGCUUCACACGUAAUACAAUGGUCGGUACAGAGGGCUGCUAACCCGCGAGGGGGUGCUAAUCUCAGUUCGGAUUGUCGUCUGCAACUCGACGGCAUGAAGUCGGAAUCGCUAGUAAUCG
rnacentral:rRNA from 1 species